UACAGAGGGUGCGAGCGUUAAUCGGAAUUACUGGGCGUAAAGCGCGCGUAGGUGGUUGUGUAAGUCGAGUGUGAAAGCCCCGGGCUCAACCUGGGAACUGCAUUCGAGACUGCAUUACUAGAGUAUGGGAGAGGGCAGUGGAAUUUCCGGUGUAGCGGUGAAAUGCGUAGAUAUCGGAAGGAACAUCAGUGGCGAAAGCGACUGCCUGGCCCAAUACUGACGCUCAUGUGCGAAAGCGUGGGGAGCAAACAGG
rnacentral:rRNA from 1 species